rnacentral:rRNA from 1 species
CAGCCGCCACGGUAAUACGAAGGGGGCUAGCGUUGCUCGGAAUGACUGGGCGUAAAGGGCGCGUAGGCGGAUCACGCAGUCAGAUGUGAAAUUCCUGGGCUUAACCUGGGGGCUGCAUUUGAGACGCGUGGUCUAAAGUGUGAAAGAGGGUCGUGGAAUUCCCAGUGUAGAGGUGAAAUUCGUAGAUAUUGGGAAGAACACCGGUGGCGAAGGCGGCGACCUGGUUCAUUACUGACGCUGAGGCGCGAAAGCGUGGGGAGCAAACAGGAUUAGAUACCCGCGUAGUCCCUGUCUCUUAUAC